rnacentral:lncRNA from 1 species
ACAACACAUAAUAGACUUGACUCAUCCACUUUUGGUUUUGGGCACUCUUGCAAAAAACCUCAUCCAUUCCAACCCCCUUCACUUACUCACUUUUUUCUAACCUGACUGGGCAUUGGAAAAGCUGUCAAGCAUCCAUCAAAAAGGAUACAUUGGCAUUUUGGAAAAGAGGCUACUGAGAUCAAAAGAAAAAAACCCCUGCUGUUAGCAUUUGAGUUUAUCUGUCCAAAACACCAUGCAUAAAAACAGCACAGCAGAAAAAGAACUUGGUGCUGAAGACUAAUCUUGGUAUUUCAAAUCUUUCUGUCAAGAAAGCAUCCAAGUGAUAACCUUGUUUUGCAUCACCAUUGCCUUGCCACAACACCAAGCACAUGACCAACCAUGUUCUUUCACUUAAUACCUUACUUGGCCAUUGAACCAUUUGGAAAACCCUGCAGUAUCCAACAGCAUAGGGUAAAAAAGGAAGACCUUGCCUUGCCUCAAACCAACCUAACAACAAAACCUAGCAAACCAAUACACCUCUGAAAAACUGGACUUAGCUUUCUUUUUUGCCUUGAUGAUCAAAAAACCUGCUACCAACACUUCCUGCAGGAGCAGGCCAACAAAACCAACAUAGGCCACUUGACAGCAAGGAAGCAACGUCCUUCAUUCAUUUGUCCAAAACUCACCUUUGGCCAUUUCCAACAACAGUCAAACAACUCUUCAUCAUACAUCA